rnacentral:rRNA from 1 species
AUUGAACGCUGGCGGCAGGCUUAACACAUGCAAGUCGAGCGGAUGAAAGUAGCUUGCUACUGGAUUCAGCGGCGGACGGGUGAGUAAUGCUUAGGAAUCUGCCCAUUAGUGGGGGACAACGUUCCGAAAGGAGCGCUAAUACCGCAUACGUCCUACGGGAGAAAGCAGGGGACCUUCGGGCCUUGCGCUAAUAGAUGAGCCUAAGUCGGAUUAGCUAGUUGGUAGGGUAAAGGCCUACCAAGGCGACGAUCUGUAGCGGGUCUGAGAGGAUGAUCCGCCACACUGGGACUGAGACACGGCCCAGACUCCUACGGGAGGCAGCAGUGGGGAAUAUUGGACAAUGGGGGGAACCCUGAUCCAGCCAUGCCGCGUGUGUGAAGAAGGCCUUUUGGUUGUAAAGCACUUUAAGCGAGGAGGAGGCUACCUAGAUUAAUACUUUAGGAUAGUGGACGUUACUCGCAGAAUAAGCACCGGCUAACUCUGUGCCAGCAGCCGCGGUAAUACAGAGGGUGCGAGCGUUAAUCGGAUUUACUGGGCGUAAAGCGUGCGUAGGCGGCCAAUUAAGUCAAAUGUGAUAUCCCCGAGCUUAACUUGGGAAUUGCAUUCGAUACUGGUUGGCUAGAGUAUGGGAGAAGAUGGUAGAAUUCCAGGUGUAGCGGUGAAAUGCGUAGAGAUCUGGAGGAAAUACCGAUGG